CCUACGGGAGGCAGCAGUGGGGAAUUUUGGACAAUGGGCGCAAGCCUGAUCCAGCAAUGCCGCGUGCAGGAUGAAGGCCUUCGGGUUGUAAACUGCUUUUGUACGGAACGAAACGGUCUGCUCUAAUAAAGUGGGCUAAUGACGGUACCGUAAGAAUAAGCACCGGCUAACUACGUGCCAGCAGCCGCGGUAAUACGUAGGGUGCGAGCGUUAAUCGGAAUUACUGGGCGUAAAGCGUGCGCAGGCGGUUAUAUAAGACAGAUGUGAAAUCCCCGGGCUCAACCUGGGACCUGCAUUUGUGACUGUAUAGCUAGAGUACGGUAGAGGGGGAUGGAAUUCCGCGUGUAGCAGUGAAAUGCGUAGAUAUGCGGAGGAACACCGAUGGCGAAGGCAAUCCCCUGGACCUGUACUGACGCUCAUGCACGAAAGCGUGGGGAGCAAACAGGAUUAGAUACCCUGGUAGUCCACGCCCUAAACGAUGUCAACUGGUUGUUGGGUCUUCACUGACUCAGUAACGAAGCUAACGCGUGAAGUUGACCGCCUGGGGAGUCGGCGCGAGUGAAGUACAANAGAGUAGUAGCGNGAGAGAGCGACGACGACGACGAGGGAGGAGGNG
rnacentral:rRNA from 1 species